CAGUUUUCCCCUCUGAAUUGC
rnacentral:miRNA from 1 species